AUUGAACGCUGGCGGCAUGCCUUACACAUGCAAGUCGAACGGUAACGGGCCUUCGGGUGCCGACGAGUGGCGAACGGGUGAGUAAUGUAUCGGAACGUACCUUUCAGUGGGGGAUAACGUAGCGAAAGUUACGCUAAUACCGCAUAUUCUGUGAGCAGGAAAGCAGGGGAUCGCACGACCUUGCGCUGAUUGAGCGGCCGAUAUCAGAUUAGCUAGUUGGUGAUGUAAAGGCUCACCAAGGCGACGAUCUGUAGCGGGUCUGAGAGGAUGAUCCGCCACACUGGAACUGAGACACGGUCCAGACUCCUACGGGAGGCAGCAGUGGGGAAUGUUGGACAAUGGGGGCAACCCUGAUCCAGCCAUGCCGCGUGAGUGAAGAAGGCCUUCGGGUUGUAAAGCUCUUUCGGCCGGGAAGAAAUCGUAUCAGCUAAUACCUGGUGCGGAUGACGGUACCGGCAUAAGAAGCACCGGCUAACUACGUGCCAGCCGCCGCGGUAAAAC
rnacentral:rRNA from 1 species